GAUGAACGCUGGCGGCGUGCUUAACACAUGCAAGUCGAACGAUGAAGCAUUCUUCGGAAUGUGGAAGAGUGGCGAACGGGUGAGGAACACGUAAGAAUCUGCCCCUCAGUCGGGGACAACCCUUGGAAACGAGGGCUAAUACCCGAUACGCUGUGGAGUGAAAGAAUUUCGCUGAGGGAUGAUCUUGCGUCUGAUUAGCUAGUUGGUGUGGUAAUGGCACACCAAGGCGACGAUCAGUAGCUGGUCUGAGAGGAUGAACAGCCACAUUGGAACUGAGACACGGUCCAAACUCCUACGGGAGGCAGCAGUGGGGAAUUUUCCGCAAUGGACGAAAGUCUGACGGAGCGACGCUGCGUGAAGGAUGACGGCCUGCGGGUUGUAAACUUCUUUUUCAGAAGAAGUCUGACGGUAUGAGAAUAAGCCGGCUAAUCCGUGCCAGCCGCCGC
rnacentral:rRNA from 1 species